rnacentral:rRNA from 1 species
AUGCCGAUUGCAUUGGGAAUGAGUUAUCAUCUGUUAUAUUUGGCGUCAACUGUGCAACCAUACCCAAAAGGAAGAUCCUCACGCAGCUACGCAUCCAACCCUUGGUUUGCAGGGCGUCCGGUUGUCCCAGGACCAACUCACUCCACAGAACUUCUUGAGGUUCACUUCUCAUCUCUGCCAGUCAAACACAUUGCUAGGAACUGGAUAGUACACAACGACCCUAGGUUGGUAAGGAUUUCCAGGAAGGAUUUGCAAGAGCAGCUGCUAGGAGCAGCAAUACUUGACCAUGAACUAGGAUGUGUUAUUCUACGCCGCCUGAAGCACCCAUUGUCGUCUGAUUGUGACCAUGACCAUGACCAUGAACUAGGAUGCUUGACAAUGAGUGAUUGUGCUCAACCCGGUGCUCUGUGA